CUGCAGUGAUGACCAACUUAGGACACCUUUGGAUUCAUAAUGAAAACAACUAAGUGGCUCUGAGCAGU
ensembl:snoRNA SNORD58 Small nucleolar RNA SNORD58